rnacentral:rRNA from 1 species
UACGGAGGGGGCUAGCGUUGUUCGGAAUUACUGGGCGUAAAGCGCACGUAGGCGGCUUUGUAAGUUAGAGGUGAAAGCCCAGGGCUUAACCCUGGAAUUGCCUUUAAGACUGCAUCGCUAGAAUCGUGGAGAGGUGAGUGGAAUUCCGAGUGUAGAGGUGAAAUUCGUAGAUAUUCGGAAGAACACCAGUGGCGAAGGCGACUCGCUGGACAGGUAUUGACGCUGAGGUGCGAAAGUGUGGGGAGCGAACAGG